ACUUUCUUCCAAAGAUUAAGUCGUUGGAAAAGAAAUCCCGGAUUCUGGACUAAUCCAGAUAAAAUAAUAUUUAUGUAUUUUAGAUCAGAACGAAUUAAGGUCCUGAAAACCGUGAAUGCUUUCUACAAAUAGGUUAUUUCUAGCGAGAAAGUCUAUAGCAGGUCGAUCAGCAGAUUAGGAAUUAUUUCAGAUGUGGUGUUAUGCACCCUUCUCCAAAUAAGCCAAAGGUCAAACACAUAAUUAGAUAUAGCUUUAUAACCAGUUUGGCUGUGUGUGUAUGAGGGUGUAAUAAAUUGGUGACAGAUGUUGCUUGUUCAGAAGGGGUUGUACAGUCAUACAGGGUCAGCUGGCUUUAUCUGAAAUCACCCACAGCCAUUAUGCCUGAUGUAACCCUACAGAACAUGCAUCUGCUGAUUGUAUUCUCCGGUCUUCAUUUGAUUAUUUCCCUUUAACAGCACGUCCUGAAGUUUUAUUCCUCUUAGACCACAGCAAUUUGCCAAUGAUUACAGUCUUUUAUUAAAUUAAAGAACAACACUUCACAAUUUGUAUCCAGUUAUAGUCACAUUUAAAGUUGUUGAAUAUCCACAAACCAAGUUAGAUUCCCUUAUCACUUAUGUUAUAGCAGGUAUAAUCAGUCAUUCCCUCACCAGCCUCUCUUUUCUCUCUCUCUCUCUCGAUCAAAGUUAAUAAGACAAAAAUGCAGCUUGUCAUGUUACAGAGAAACCGCAAAGCUCCCUGCUCUGACAGUUUUUCUGUAAGGGAACAAUUAAAGUUACAGCUUUACCUUUACCAGACUAUUACAAAACGCUGACACUGGAGACCCCUUACAAAAAUUGUUAAAUAAAUAAAUGUUAAAUCAUGUCCUCACUUUAAACUUCAUAUCACUAAUUACACAUUGUUUAAAAAUCGUUUAUGUGUAUUCUACAAUCAUCAAGUAGGGUAAGUGCUUUAAUAUAAACUUUGCUGUCCGAACCAUGCAGUUAUAGAAAAUGAAUCAACAUUUUUGUCCAAUAGGAUCAACUAAAUAAAUAAUACUGUUGGUCAUGUACAAUAAAUACACAAUGAGAUUGGUUUCAAUGAGUGCAUUGCAAGCAGCGCAGUAAUAUUUGAGGUCUAGUGUGAUUACUCCUCAGAAAAACACUCCUUAAUUGCUGACAUUGAACAUGAAGUUGAACUAUAAACUAAAUACAUUUUAUGUGCAAAAUCAUUGAAACAUUUCCUCGAGAUUACCUCAACUAACUUAUAACUCAAUUUAAUCUUAUAUUAAGUAAUAUUUUUACACAAUCAGGAAAGCGUUUUGUGUGUUCUGAUAUCCCAGAUCAGUCAGGCCACAGUCACUGUGCUAAUUUGAUCAUAUCGGAUCUUAGUUCCAAAUCAAAGCACUUCUAUUUCCUGUCAGAAUUGGUGUUCAAAGCAGAUAUGAACAAAGCUUGUUCUGUCAUUUCAUGAGCUGCUGCUCUGUGUGUCAAAGCAGGAGGAUGAAAAGAAGCCAAAGCAGAUAAAUACUGUAUAAUCUAACCAGUAGUCAUUUUGCAUUACUUCAGCCUCUUUUCUUUUUUUUCUUUUUUUAUCAUUUGUCUUCUUGUUUUAAAAGACAGACAACACAGAGUUCGUUCUGACAAUCUGACACAAAGGGUUUGUUUAAGAGAAAUGGAUCUAGGGUGGUAACUGUUAGUGUGUGUGUACUGUGUCUCAUCAGUACAGCCAACCAUACUGCUAGAUUUUUAGUGCUUUAAACUGGUAAUUAAAGUAAAAAGACACAGUUUUGCAUGUGUUUUUCUUAUGAAAUGUAUAGACUCAUGCUACGGCUAGUGAUACGGCUAAUUAAAUGUAUGUUACAUUUUACCACUCUUCCACAUGUUCUUUAGUGGAAUGGCAGAUGGGUUAUUUUUCUUGACAUGAUUUGGUCUUAGCCAGUGUGCCAGAGUGCAGUGCUGCCAUGCUGCAGUCAGGCUGUGUGCUUGAAUCCAGAGUCAAUGGAGGCAUAGGUGUCAAUCACUGAAACACCCCUAUAUAUAGUUUGAAAAGUGCCUUGAGACUCUAUGCACAGAAGGAGGUUCAGACCCAGACCCAUGCAGAGUGUGAGGAGCUUGCACAUCAGGACGAGUGGAUUCAGCUGAGCUGAUGGUGUGACACUCAAAGAAUUCUGACACUGAGGAUUUUGCCUGCAGAUAUGGCUUUGGGAGUCCACAGUCCAUCCAUUUUACAGACCGUUUAUCCUACAAAGGGUCGCAGGGGAUCCUGGAGCCUGUCCCAGGGCGCUCGGGGCACAAGAACCCCCAACCCCAGAGGUGCGAGCAAACAUGCUAACUACUAAGCUGUCAUACCCUUUGUAAGUGGAACAGUUGGUAUUUAUUUCAAUUGGCAUUUAUUUGGGCUCCACAUUUACAAAUAUUUUACUGUAUACUUCACCUCCCGUGUGCUAGUUUAAAGAGCAUCAGUUCCAGAAAUCCAUAUGGCUUUCAAAGAUGCUUUCUAUUCUUCUUCUUUCUUAAGCCUUGUUUAUAAUACAUGACUGCUUCCAGGAAUGUUUUGGUAUGUGGACUUGAUGUUUCCAAAGAUGCUUUCUGUUAUUCUUCUUUCUUAAGCCUUGUUUAUAAUACACAAUUGCUUCCACAAAUGUUUGGUUAUGUGGCAUUGAUUUUUCCUAUAUAUUUAAGAUAAUUCAGGGGUGGAAUAUUGGGGAAAUGUAGUAAAUACUGCGUGAUUACAUAAUAGGAAUUCAUUCCUUGAGUGUGAGAGUAGUGCACAGUGUGUAAAAAUGUAAAAUGUCAUCUUGACUAGAAUUAUUCUUUUUCAUGCCUCUAUUAGAAAUAUUACCUUGGCACUACAUGCAUGCUUUAACACCCUGUACAGUAGUACCACUGUAGCGACCAUAUAUUUACAUGAAAAAUAUCAGCAAGUACAUUUAACUAAGGGAUGAGAUGUUACAACAAAUGUAGCUGGUGAGAGACCACAAUUGUACUGUUUUAAUAUUAACAAUGACGAUACUUUUUCUAAUUAAAUAACAGCAUGCUUUUUGAUUCUUUCAUUAGUUUUAGCUAAUGUGAAGCAUCCAUCUUACAAGUACCUGUGAAUUGCUUGUUACUACAGAAACAGAUAAUGCAUAAUAUUUCGGUGUGGAUGUGUUUAUGCAGAUGCUUGUUUGCAUUUGUGCUUAUAUUCAUCCAUUAGGCUACAGUACUAUAGAUUACUGUCAUUAACAUGUAAUAAAUAAGUGACAUCCUUUAAAAUUCCCACGAUGCUACACAUAUUAGAAUUUUGUCCUUUAUAAUACUUUCACUAGUUGACAUGCCAUUAAAAAGUGUUGUAUAAAUUACAGACAGGGAUACCAGAGUAUGUUUUUCCCCACACAUGUCCGUGUCAACAUGGUUGCAAGACCACUGUAUGCAGAGUGUGUAAAUGCUCUUCUCUGUUUUGAUGAUUGUGUGGUGAUUUUUGUCUUUUUUUUUGGCUGUUUUUCAGAAUCCAGAAUUUUUGCAGCUAACCACACAAUUAAUGUAUUGUUUCUUUAAGUGC